AUGCAAGUCGAACGGUAACAGGUCUUCGGAUGCUGACGAGUGGCGAACGGGUGAGUAAUACAUCGGAACGUGCCCGAUCGUGGGGGAUAACGAGGCGAAAGCUUUGCUAAUACCGCAUACGAUCUACGGAUGAAAGCGGGGGAUCUUCGGACCUCGCGCGGACGGAGCGGCCGAUGGCAGAUUAGGUAGUUGGUGGGAUAAAAGCUUACCAAGCCGACGAUCUGUAGCUGGUCUGAGAGGAUGAUCAGCCACACUGGGACUGAGACACGGCCCAGACUCCUACGGGAGGCAGCAGUGGGGAAUUUUGGACAAUGGGGGAAACCCUGAUCCAGCCAUGCCGCGUGCAGGAUGAAGGCCUUCGGGUUGUAAACUGCUUUUGUACGGAACGAAAAGAUUCAUUCUAAUAAAGUGGAUCCAUGACGGUACCGUAAGAAUAAGCACCGGCUAACUACGUGCCAGCAGCCGCGGUAAUACGUAGGGUGCAAGCGUUAAUCGGAAUUACUGGGCGUAAAGCGUGCGCAGGCGGUUAUGUAAGACAGAUGUGAAAUCCCCGGGCUCAACCUGGGAACUGCAUUUGUGACUGCAUAGCUGGAGUGCGGCAGAGGGGGAUGGAAUUCCGCGUGUAGCAGUGAAAUGCGUAGAUAUGCGGAGGAACACCGAUGGCGAAGGCAAUCCCCUGGGCCUGCACUGACGCUCAUGCACGAAAGCGUGG
rnacentral:rRNA from 1 species